UACGUAGGGACCAAGCGUUGUUCGGAUUUACUGGGCGUAAAGGGCGCGUAGGCGGCAUGACAAGUCACUUGUGAAAUCUCCGGGCUUAACUCGGAACGGUCAAGUGAUACUGUCGUGCUAGAGUACAGAAGGGGCAACUGGAAUUCUCGGUGUAGCGGUGAAAUGCGUAGAUAUCGAGAGGAACACCUGCGGCGAAGGCGGGUUGCUGGGCUGAUACUGACGCUGAGGCGCGAAAGCCAGGGGAGCGAACGGG
rnacentral:rRNA from 1 species